CACGCAGGUGGGAAAGUAAGUCAGUCUUAAAAGUGCGGGGCUCAACCCCGUGAGGGGAUUGAAACUACUUUUCUUGAGUGCAGGAGAGGAAAGCGGAAUUCCUAGUGUAGCGGUGAAAUGCGUAGAUAUUAGGAGGAACACCAGUGGCGAAGGCGGCUUUCUGGACUGUAACUGACACUGAGGCUCGAAAGCCAGGGGAGCGAACG
rnacentral:rRNA from 1 species